AGUUUGCAUUGCAUAAUACGAGAACAAAAUAUAAUAGAGUUCUAAGAUAAAAUCUACAAGAAAAAUGGCAAAACAUAUAGCCCAAUAUUUUUUCUUGGCACUUUUGUUCAUUGCGUUGGUUCUAGCUUCGGGACAAAAGUGCUUUCCUUCGGAUUGUAAAGAUCCUAGCACAUGCAACGAAAGUUGCAUUGCUAUCGGUAAGGGAAAUAAACAAGGAUAUUGUUUUUUUGGUAUAUGUUGCUGUGACUACGAUUGAAAUAAGUUACAUUAUUAUAUAUUUAAAAAAAUUACAUUAUUAAUUAUAAACUUUUAUAUAUGUUUUACUAAAGAUAAAAAAAAUAAAAAUAAUACUGGUUCACAGCAAAAAGAAUAAACAAUCUCAAAAAAAAAAAGGGAUCGAUUAUACUAAAUAAGAAACAUCUUCCUUCAAAGGUUUUAAUUUCAUGUUUGAAGAUAUUAUGAUGUCUGAUGUCAGCAUGAGAAAAAGUGGAGAACUUGAAAAGUAAGGGCCAAGCUCGAUGUGAAAUAAAGAAAGCAAGAUGUCUACAAAUCCUCAAUGUGAAAUAAAAAAGCUCAAUGUAGCAUAGGAUUACGCAUUCAAGAAUUGGGGUGAAAGUUGUUUUGAAUUAAAUAAUGGUGAGAGGGUACCCCUCACAGAGUUGUAUCUAAUUAAAUAAAUCAAAUUAUAUUCUCUUACUAUUAAUGUUACUAUA